rnacentral:lncRNA from 1 species
CCCCCUUGUCCCUCUCCCUCUCCUCCUUGGGCUGCGCCUGUGGCUGGGAGAACUGCCUGUUAUGUCUCUCCUGUUCUUUCUCUACUGCCGGCUCUGAAGUCCACCUGGAUGAAGGAGACCCCUCCAGCCCCACUGAUAUGGGAUGUAGACAGAGGCAUUGGCCAAAGCCUGGAGAGACGCACACCCAGAGUCAGAGGGGAAAGAAGCAGAGUGAAGAACCUUUCUGAGAAGCCUGCUCAUCUGUAUGCUCCGAGAGCAGUGGAAGCCACAGCACAGGAAGCUUCAUUGGGAAGGGCCUUGUGAAUCAGUCCAGGCUCAUGGGCACAACUAGCCAUUUGAGAUAGAACUGGGAACAGGAGGCCCACUGUCUCAGAGGAUUGCAUCAAGAACUGUGCCCCCGAGCAGCUGAAGACUGCAGGGUCUUGGAGCUGCAGGGACAGGAGGGAAGGAGCCAAUACUCCACCAGGCAUCCACUCUUUUCACAUACUAUCUUUUCAUGAAUCUCUGCAGUCGUGAUAGAAAGUACCCCCAAAAUGUCUCCAUCUGAAAGUAGAGGAAACUGAGGCUGAGAGGCAUAAAAGUGACUGGCCUAACACAUCAGUGAAUAAAUGGCCUGAAAGAUCUUUAACACUAGUCUGCUCUAAUUCUGCAUGAUGACUCUUCCUUUAUGUCAUGCAGUCAAGCCUUGCCACCAGCCAGAAUUUCUGAGAUGCAUCACUGGUUUAUAAAGCGGUGUCAAAUGGUAUGAGCAUGGAGGGGAUGACAUGUGUGCAGUGGGUCACAGCACUUCUCUUUCUUCAGACUCGAAGUCCAAGUUUUGUCAGAAAAUUCUCAUGGAAAGACAGACAGAUACCAGGCUGACCUAGCAUCCACUCAUUCUCUCCCUCUCUCUCUCUCUCUCUCUCUCUCUCUCUCUCUCUCAGUUUGGAAAAAGGAUUUGUAGGUCAUUUAGUCCAAAUUUCUAAUUCCUGAAUUAAAGUUGCAGUAUCUAAAGUAAAUAGCUUUCUAGCCUGUGCUUGGAGAUUUAUAGACUGUAAGGACUUUUACAAAGG